UCUUGCAAGGAGGGGAGGAGAGGAAUGUUAGGAGAGGAGGUGGGAGGGCAGUAGAUUUAGUAGUUCUUAUUUUAAGUAAUUAAUGUUUCAAAUGUUAUCACACUUAUCCAAUGAUGUAUACAUAAUGUAAAACGUGUCUUUUCAUAUUUGGUAUUUUCAAUUCUGCCUUGUUGUAAAUAGAGGAGAGAAAGGGAGGGGGCGAUGAGAGAAGGUAGUGCAAAGGAGGAGGAUGAGGAGGGACAAUGUAGAGCUUUAACUCUCACACAAAAAGGUUCACAUGAGCUGUGACAUCUGAACUCUGAGUGUCUUAAACAAGCUCAUGUAAAAGGUAAACAUGAAAUAAAGUGAUGUUACUGCCACAUUUCAUUUGGUGAUCCAUGUAGACUGUGUGUGUCUUAUUUGCCUGUGUAAGAAUGAACAUCUGAGAUUGAUUUAAACACGGGUCACAUGAUUUUGUUGCCAUUAUCACUGUGCCAAUGUGUAAUAGGUAUUGACUGGACCCAAUUGCAGCAGAAACAAGCAGGUUCACUCGAACAACAGUCUUUAUUUGACACCAAAUCAAAUGAAGCAGCAGAGAACAGCAGGAUUCGAACCCCAGUCUUCCGGGUGCCAGGAGAGCAGAGUAGUGGAGGACCACAGGACAUGCAAGAAAGCUGGGACUCGUGAGCAGGCAAUUGUCCACAGUCUUAAUUUCCCUGACACUUGACAUCUCCCCCGCAGAACGGUCCUCCAUAUCCUGGACAGGUGGGGGCAAGGUGCGGGUUCCUAGACGAGCUGACUCAUUGGCUAGCUGGUCGGGAUGUUGCCAAUGAAAGUUGACCACAAGGUUGGGGUCCAAAAUGUGACGAGUAGGAACCCAAGAUCUCUCCUCAGGACCGUAACCCUCCCAGUCCACAAGGUACCGGAGACCCCUACCCUGCCACCGAGAACGAAUUAGGCAGCACACUACAUACACUGGACCGCUGUCGACCAUUCGUGGAGGGGGAGGUGGUGGUGCCGCAGGGACCAAGGGGCUGUUGUGGACUGGCUUAACCUUGGAGACAUGGAAGGUAGGGUGUACUCUCAUGGAACGUGGGAGUUUCAACCAGGCUGUCACUGGGUUGAUGACCCUCUGAAUGGUGAAAGGCCCAAUGAACCUUGGUGCCAUCUUUUUGGAUUCCACCCAGAGAGGUAAGUCUUGGGUGGAGAGCAAAGACUGUAUAUAGAAUGGUACACCAUGCUAGUAACGGGUUGGACCCCCUUUUGCCUUCAGAACUGCCUCAAUUCUUCGUGGCAUAGAUUCAACAAGGUGCUGGAAGCAUUCCUCAGAGAGCUUGGUCCAUAUUGACAUGAUGGCAUCACACAGUUGCCGCAGAUUUGUCGGCUGCCACAUCCAUGAUGCGAAUCUCCCGUUCCACCACAUCCCAAAGAUGCUCUAUUGGAUUGAGAUCUGGUGACUGUGGAGGCCAUUUGAGUACAGUGAACUCAUUGUCAUGUUCAAGAAACCAGUCUGAGAUGAUUCCAGCUUUAUGACAUGGCGCAUUAUCCUGCUGAAAGUAGCCAUCAGAAGUUGGGUACAUUGUGGUCAUAAAGGGAUGGACAUGGUCAGCAACAAUACUCAGGUAGGCUGUGGCGUUGCAACGAUGCUCAAUUGGUACCAAGGGGCCCAAAGAGUGCCAAGAAAAUAUUCCCCACACCAUGACACCACCACCACCAGCCUGAACCGUUGAUACAAGGCAGGAUGGAUCCAUGCUUUCAUGUUGUUUACGCCAAAUUCUGACCCUACCAUCCGAAUGUCGCAGCAGAAAUUGAGACUCAUCAGACCAGGCAACGUUUUUCCAAUCUUCUAUUGUCCAAUUUCGAUGAGCUUGUGCAAAUUGUAGCCUCAGUUUCCUGUUCUUAGCUGAACGGAGUGGCACCCGGCGUGGUCUUCUGCUGCUGUAGCCCAUCUGCCUCAAAGUUCGACGUACUGUGCGUUCAGAGAUGCUCUUCUGCCUACCUUGGUUGUAACGGGUGGUUAUUUGAGUCACUGUUGCCUUUCUAUCAGCUCGAACCAGUCUGGCCAUUCUCCUCUGACCUCUGGCAUCAACAAGGCAUUUCCGCCCACAGAACUGCCGCUCACUGGAUAUUUUCUCUUUUUCGGACCAUUCUCUGUAAACCCUAGAGAUGGUUGUGCGUGAAAAUCCCAGUAGAUCAGCAGUUUCUGAAAUACUCAGACCAGCCCUUCUGGCACCAACAACCAUGCCACGUUCAAAGUCACUCAAAUCACCUUUCUUCCCCAUACUGAUGCUC